rnacentral:rRNA from 1 species
CCUACGGGUGGCAGCAGUGGGGAAUAUUGCACAAUGGGGGGAACCCUGAUGCAGCGACGCCGCGUGAAGGAAGAAGUAUUUCGGUAUGUAAACUUCUAUCAGCAGGGAAGAAAAUGACGGUACCUGACUAAGAAGCCCCGGCUAACUACGUGCCAGCAGCCGCGGUAAUACGGAGGGGGCAAGCGUUAUCCGGUUUUACUGGGUGUAAAGGGAGCGUAGGCGGCGAUGCAAGUCAGAAGUGAAAGCCCGGGGCUCAACUCCGGGACUGCUUUUGAAACUGUGUUGCGAGUUUGCAGGAGAGGUAAGUGGAAUUCCUAGGGUAGCGGUGAAAUGCGUAGAUAUUAGGAGGAACACCAGUGGCGAAGGCGGCUUACUGGACUGUAAAUGACGCUGAGGCUCGAAAGCGUGGGGAGCAAACAGGAUGAGAUACCCGAGUAGUC